GGGGGGGAGUGAGUGAGUGAAGGAGAGCAAGCUCUGUCGAUAGGACUACCAGCAACAGCCCUGCUGCAGCAAGAGGGAGAGAGAGAAAUCAGCACAGAGAAGUAAUAACAACAUUGGGCAGCAUGGUUCCUUUACCUAUUUCUUUUUCUCUUUUAUUUUGCAAAAGACAAAAAAAGAGAGAAGAAGUCUUAUUUGGGAGCUUGUUCGAUACUGCCGGAUUCCGUCCACUGACGAUACCGGAAAGAUGCAACGCAGUUAAUCCCGCGGGCAGAAGGGGGGUGCAGAUGUAGGAAGGGUUAAUAGGAGGAAAAUUCUCGAAUGUUCUGGGCUGCGGCGGAGCAAGCAGAGGGUUGAGGACUGCCCAGGUGUAGAAGAACAGAGCUUAUGGUUCCUUGUCCCUUACGUAUGUAUCUUUUGAAUCGAGGGUUGGACUGAUUGUCUCGUUGUGUGUAUGUGUGGGCUUUUUUUAAGGGGGGGGUUCCUUUUUCUUUCUUUUUUUCUCUUUUUGGUUCCCUGUCACCCAAACUUUCUCUCCAAUUAUUGUUUUCUCUGUCUAAACAUUGUUGCUGCGUCCUGCGUCAGACCAAUGGAAUGAAGACACAGGUUACAAAAUGCCACUGCGUAGCUGUAAUGCAGAUUUGGGGAGAGAAGGCAAGGAGGACAGGAGUUUGCUGUGGCUACCCCUUUCAUCCCUUUUGCCCACUUUUAACACUGGGAACAACAAGGAGUGGGACAGGAGGUUUAACCAGACAAGUUUGAAUUUUCCAAUCUGGGGAGCCUGUAUCUGCAUAGUUCAGAAAGUGGCAAAUGAUGACGCAGUGAUCCUUUCCUGGUCUGUUCUCUGGGUUUUGAAAUCAUCAGAGGAGACAGGUACCCUGUGGAUCCCUAGAGCAGCUGAGACAGCCUUGGGUUAAGCAGUGGGGAUAGCCUUUAGCAAUUAAAUGUCAUCCUUUUGGCGUUGGAAAGUUGUUUACCUUGCUCUCUCCGUGUCUCCAUGUUGGCAGCCUUCCAGCUCACAUGUGAUAGUCUUCCCUGUACUGCUGCAUCAUUAACCGAGUGCCUGAGCCUGCACAUGAUUGGCUGGGGAGGGCUCUCCUUCUUAAACACACAUUUCUAUUGGAGGAAGAGCCCCUGGCAGGUGAAAUGCUGCCUCAGAUUGGCUGGGGUCAGGCUAUCAAAUCUAAAUGUUCCAUUGCUCUUGCUUUAAAAGGGGUUCAGAACAGUUUGUGACUUUUAAAAAAAAUUGUCUCUUUGCUAUUUCUGCCCCCCACCCCACCCUUGCUUUUCUCUCAAAGCAGGCAUUUUGGAAUGUGUGUCUGUGUUCUUAGAGCUGGCCAUUUAAAAAGGAAAGCACACAUACACAUACACAUACACACAAAUAUAUAGCAGGAACUUGACUAUUGUGGAUUAGUUUAGUUUAUUACUGGUGCAAGUGACGCAGGAGGAAAAACAAAUAUUCUGUGACUCAAGUUGCAUCAGUGACAGGCGUGUUUCCGGCUGCUGUGAGACCAGCCACGAUGACGUGACAUUAUUAUAGGCUUCAGAGGAGACAACAGAAAGAGACUUUGGUGGGUGUCUACCUCUGUCUGUGAGUGGAGAAACUCAGCAAUAUAUUCCUAUUUCAAACUCUUUGGGGUAGGGAGAGUGCCUGUCACCGGUGUAUCUGUAAACAUCCAGACAGAGCUGUACACUGCAGUGUGUCCUACUUUACAUCCGUUUAAAUUCAGAGUCAGAGCUGUUACUGGACCGAAUGGCAACAGAAUUUAGUGGUGCAAUGGCUUCCUUCCCCCACUGCCACUGUGAGCCCUUGCUCUGCAGAUCUCUCUCCUCCCAAGGCAGUCUUGCAUUUUGCAGUGCAAGUUCCGCAGAGGAGGACACGCAGGAGACACAACCAUAAUGGCUAUGAGGGACUCAUGCUGAGAUCAUGCUUGCUUAUGGAUGGAACAUGGAAAAUGCAACGCAGCUGGAAAGGCUCCCUAUCCCCUCAUGCUUCAAAUUCCUGAAUUUGAAGAGGAAGAGUAGAUGUUUCCACCAGAUGCGGAUUUGCUAAAAGGAGGAGGGCAAGUGAAUGGAUGGAUUACGGUGGACCCUGAAAACUGGAACUAAUGCUGAACACCAGCUGUCAUCAUGAUCAAGCACUAAACUGGGAGUAUCAUUUUAACCAUGGCUUGAAACUGGGACUCGGUGUGGAUUUAGCAAUAGCAUUUACCUUUCUAUACCACUUCAUAAUGAACUCAACCCUCUCUAAGCAGUUUAUAAUCUCAUCUUACCUAAUGGAUAAUCACUCAAAUAGGACAUGGGGUUUGGAGAUAAUUACUUUUGAUAGCUGGAACCUUGUAUCUUCUGAUGUAAAAUGACAUUUGGCAGUCAUUGGCACCAUUGAAAACUGAUGUGAGUGGUUACACCUUGCUCCUAUAGAUCAUGGAUGACCUCUGAUGGAAAGUUAUCAUUAGGACGUUUUGCUGAAGUGUAUAAACAAGAAGACAUCUUGGACUGCAUGUCAAUUUUGCUCUUCCACUUUCAUGUAGGUUAUAGAUAUUUCCUUGAUAUACAAGGAUGUUUUCUUUCUCCAGCAAAAUUGAAGAAACCGUUUACACUGAUGAUGAAGAAACUUUAUAGGCAUAUGCAGCAGAGAGAUAAGUAGUUGAAACACAGUGCCUGAAAAAUGAAGUCAAAGAAGAAAAUGACCAUAUGAAGAAUGGAAAAACUGCUAAAGAGGAUGUCGGGAUGAAAAAUAAAGGCACCAUGAAGACAAUUCCAGACAAAUAACAGAUACCUAAAUUUAAUCCAGUGAAGAAGAGAAAGCCAAUGCAAAAAAAAGGAAAGGUCAAAUGAGAGUUAAGAAAGAUGAAGAAUGAAUUCAGUGGAACCUUCCUCAGGACGAGAGAGCCAUUAACACCUUCAACUGCCUCUAGACCGUCCUCCCUGCCUGCAGUGGAACCUUCCUCAGGACGAGAGAGCCAUU